UAUCUUUUAUGCCAAAAAACGAAAAAAAUCGCUAAAGUGUACUGUGAAGAUAAAACUUCGUUAUGUGAUAAACUGAAAUGAAUGCAAUUAUUCGUGAGUGUCGUGUAUUUGCAUUGGUUAUAAGGAUGUCAAAAUAGAGAAACAAAUUUCGAAAUAAAUAUAUCUUGUACAUUAAAACAUGUGAUUUAUCAAAAAGAGAUAACACAAAAUACAUGGUUACUCAGGACCGGCAAAGAUUAUGUAAUCUUUUCUGAGCUACGCCCUCUGCUUAUCUUCGCACGUAACACCGAAAUUUGGAAAAAAUAAAGCAUUAAAGGAAUGCUUUUCAUUGAAAAUUCUUAAGGAUUUUAGAAUUGUUAUGCAGAGACAAAUGAAAGCGAAAUUUUUGUCACAAACGAUGAAAUUAAUAAGAUAGAAUCACUGCAGGAAUUUUAUUUUUAUUCGAUUACAAUUAAUAACUUGGAUCCAGUUAAAAUAUAAAUUUUGCAGCAUGAUUGAAUUAUUGUAGAAAUACAUUGUAUUUUGAUAUCUAAUCAAAAUGAAUUUAUCAAGAAUAUCACUUAUCAAAUGAAAAUGAAAUCCGUUUGGAAUCAGCUGAUAAAAGUUAUUCGUUAUAAAACAAUUUGUGGAUGCAUGAUAAAUUAAAUAAACAUGAGGAUCACAUCAUGUUACUUUAAAAGGCUCAUAAUAACUGCAUUGAUAAUUGCAGUAAUAUUUUGUAUUGGUCAAGUACUUAGAUCUGUGCCAGGAUUUAAUGAUGACCUUUCAAAUUAUGACAAACUUGUGCAUAUGUCACAAUUGAUAAAAGAAUCGGUUGAACAAGAUACCUUGUUUCUGGGAAAUGGAAUUCCAGCAUGUAAAUUACCAGAAUUAAAGGUUUCCAAUCCAGAAAUAAUGAAAUUUAUACAUAAUGUACCUCCCAUAAUUUGUACACCUGAAGAUUGGGUAAAAGUUGACAAAACAAGGCUUAUAAUCGAUAAGGAAAUAAAAAAUAAGUAUGGACGAUUAAUGUGUACAUUUAGUGAGAUAAUUAGGAUAGAUGAUUUUAAUAUAAAAUAUUCAGAACCAGUGGAAGCCGAUGACUUUUAUAUUCCCAGAUAUAGUGAUUUUGUAGAUGUAAAAUGCACUUCAGAAAGUAACAAAAAAUGGCAUAGUGUCCUAGCUGGUGUGAAAUUAGACUUUGAAAUCAAAAGGAAGUAUAGUUGGGAUAAUGUUCCAAAUAAUUCACUCAAAUUAAAUGUAUUAAUGUUUGGUUUUGAUUCUUUAUCUCGUAAUACAUUCAUCCGAAAAUUACCUAAAACUUACCAAUAUAUGAAGCACAAUUUGAAUACAUUAGUUUUAGAAGGAUAUAAUAUAGUAGGAGAUGGUACUCCGCAAGCUCUUAUUCCCAUUCUAACGGGAAAAAUUGAACUUGAAUUACCAGAGACACGUAAACGUAUGGGUCAGAAAGCACAAUAUGUUAAUAUAUAUCCAAUGGUGUGGAAAGAAUAUAAAGAAAAGGGAUAUAUAACAGGAUUUAUGGAGGAUGUUCAUCAUAUUGGAACAUUUACUUAUCGUUUAAAAGGUUUUAAGGAACAACCCACCAAUCAUUAUAUGAGAACAUUUUACUUGGCCGCUGAACGGUAUUUUCGUAAUUACAAUAAGUUUUGUAUGGGAAGCAUUCCACGCCACGUAGUAAUGCUAAAUUAUAUAAAAGCAAUUUUCGAUACUUACAAAGAUGAACCGAAAUUUGUAUUUGGCUUUCAUGGAGAAUUAUCUCAUGAUUCCUAUAACGAUAUUGGUGCUGCGGAUGAAGAUUUGUACCUUUGGGUAAAGCAGUUACAAGACUCUGGUCACUUGAACAAUACCAUUUUAAUACUAAUGAGUGAUCAUGGUCAUAGAUUUGCAGAAAUUCGUAAUACUUUGCAAGGUAAACAAGAAGAACGAUUACCGUUCUUUUCAUUCACUUUCCCACCUUGGUUCAAAAAAGUACAUUCACGUGCCUAUGAAAAUUUCUUACAUAAUACAAAGCAUUUAACAACACCGUUUGAUAUACAUAAAACAUUACAAGCUAUAUUAAAUUUUGAGAGUCCAAAAGAAGGAGAUCGUUAUCAAAGAGCUAUUAAUUUAUUUGACAAGAUACCUUUGGAGAGAACAUGCGCGGAUGCAUUCAUAGAGCCACAUUGGUGUGCUUGUCUUAGUUGGAAAGAAAUAGAAGUUGAUAAUCCCAAUGUUAUUGCCGCUGCCAAGUUUUUUGUUCAAUUCCUUAAUUCCUAUACAGAGGAACACCGUGAUAUAUGUGAAACUUUAAAGUUAAAUCAAAUAUUGUGGUCUGCUAAACUUUUACCCACUAAAGGUUUAUUAAAUUUUCAAAAAUCUGGAGAUCAGGAUGGCUUUGUGGCAGAUCUCAGUGCGAAAACUAAGUUAACGUCUGAGAUAUAUCAGAUAAAAGUAAAAACAGAACCAGGUGGUGGACUAUUUGAAGCAAGCAUUACUUAUAACGUUAAUAAGAAUCUUUUUAAUACUAGAAUUUCUGAUGUCAGUAGAAUUAACAAAUAUGGAUCGCAAGCUAGCAAAGUGAGAAGAAUCAUAAUGAGGAGGAGUCAAUUGAUUUAUCUACACAUAAUUUUUGUGGAUUGGAUAAAGAGGAAGAAAAAGAGGAUGGAAGUAUAACUUCUGAAUCACAUGUACUGAAAUCCCAUUUUGCUUAUAUUUUAAACAAUGAAAUAACUUUGAAGACUGAUCUACAUGAAAACAAUCCUAAUACGUCCUAUGUAUCUUAUGAUCCUGAAGAAUUAUGUAUUAACGAGUUGUGUCCUAUACUCGCAGAAGAUUUAGAUACUAUAUCUGACAUUUCUUCAGUAAUAACACAAGAUACACCUCAGCACUCAAAGAAAGAAUAUAUAGAUUUACUACCUGU